GACAGAGGAUGCAAGCGUUAUCCGGAAUGAUUGGGCGUAAAGCGUCUGUAGGUGGCUUUUUAAGUCCGCCGUCAAAUCCCAGGGCUCAACCCUGGACAGGCGGUGGAAACUACCAAGCUGGAGUACGGUAGGGGCAGAGGGAAUUCCCGGUGUAGCGGUGAAAUGCGUGAGAUAUCGGGAAGAACACCAAAGGCGAAAGCGCUCUGCUGGGCCGAAACUGACACUGAGAGACGAAAGCUAGGGGAGCGAAUGGG
rnacentral:rRNA from 1 species